GUGUUGGGCUUUUAGUUUUUACGCUGUGUCCGGCCCGGUAGAAGGAUCUCGCACUCUAACCCUAAUUCUUCUGUACCGAAGAAACGAGCUUAGUCUCUCUCCUUCGUACGGCGACGACUCCAUGACGUCUUAUCUUCCUCUCGCCAUCUGAAACUGUCCGAGUAAUGGCGUCGUGUUUAAUCCAUUGAUUCACUCCCCCCACGAUGUCUUUUUUCAAUGCUUUGUUUCGAUCUACAAGGCAGUGUUUUUUCUGUAUAAAUAUAUGUGAGUAUUUCUCUUCUUGGACUCCAUCUUUGACCUUGCAAAUUUCUUCAAUUGAUUCUUUUUGAUUGAUCAUGAUAAACUAUUGUUUCGUGGAUUUGUUUUUAUAUUGUAUAUGAGGGGCAGGAGAGUGUGUGAGCGCAUUAGAUAUUGAGAGAGGAGAGAAUGAAUGGUGGUGGUGAGGUUGGAGCUUCAUCGUUUUAGAUUGGAAAUUCUCUCAGGUAUUUGGUGAAGGCAGUGCUGGCGAAGAAGUUCAAGAAGGUCCAGAAGAAGCACAAAUAUGAUGCUGUGAAACCGAAGAGACCAUAAAAAGAAAGGAUGAGGAAGAUAGAAAGAAGACAUGGAGAAAUCAAAGAAAUAACUUUUUAUAAAAGUCUAUAGUGCAUGGAGUUAUGUCAAAUGAUGUUGCUCGGUUAUUGAAUCUUAGUCACCACUACUCAUUUGUGGGCUUACAUGGCUUAUCUCAGCCGAGAAUAUAGGAAAAGAUGAUGCUGGUCCAUCCCGAAAAGUAUGGAGAGUGAGAGAGUAGCUAGUUGAAGCUUAUUGGCUGCCAAAACCAACAUGGAGGUUUUGUGAGAGGUGGUUAAGGCAGAGGCCAAGCUGGUGGUGGCAAAGGGAAUAAAGGUGGCCCAGAAAUUGUGCCUAAAAGUGGGAUUGAAAAAUGGAAAAAGUUCUAACAUGGUAUUAGGAAGAACAUGUAGACAACAAUAGCUGAAAGAUUGUUACAGUUGUGGAUUAUCAGGUGAACACGCUCCUAUCUUUCUAGGAGCAGUCGGAGCUAAAGCUUUUGUUGUUCAGAUUUGCAGUGAUCUUUUUCAUAAUUCAGUGGCUACAUGAGAGUGUUUCUGCUGAGUUAGAAUUUAGAGUGCAACAAAUGUACGAUAUGUGAAGGCUAUUUUAUUAUGCGAGGAAGCAGGCCCGUCCCUGCCAGAAGGCAAGUAAAGCAUAUGCUUUAGGCCACAAUAUAUAGAAGAAAAAUUAAGGCCACAUAUCACCAAAUAUUAGCUAGGUUUAACAAGUUUGAAUUGAGUUAGGAUACCAUAGUUCAAUCCUCCUUUUGUCCAAUAUAUUUUUUAUUUUAACCAUUUGAUUCUUUUUUACACUUUUGUACUGGUUUGAUGUUAGUGUAUUGCUAUAUAUUGUUGGUAUUUAUAUAAUAGGCCACACAAUU